rnacentral:rRNA from 1 species
AGGUGGGGACGACGUCAAGUCAUCAUGGCCCUUACGACCAGGGCUACACACGUGCUACAAUGGCGCAUACAAAGAGAAGCGACCUCGCGAGAGCAAGCGGACCUCAUAAAGUGCGUCGUAGUCCGGAUUGGAGUCUGCAACUCGACUCCAUGAAGUCGGAAUCGCUAGUAAUCGUGGAUCAGAAUGCCACGGUGAAUACGUUCCCGGGCCUUGUACACACCGCCCGUCACACCAUGGGAGUGGGUUGCAAAAGAAGUAGGUAGCUUAACCUUCGGGAGGGCGCUUACCACUUUGUGAUUCAUGACUGGGGUGAAGUCGUAACAAGGUAACCGUAGGGGAACCUGCGGUUGGAUCACCUCCUUACCUUAAAGAAGC